UACGAGGGGGGCGAGCGUUGUUCGGAAUUACUGGGCGUAAAGCGUGCGUAGGCGGUUCGUUAAGUUGCUGGUGAAAUCCCGGGGCUCAACUCCGGGGCUGCCGGCAAGACUGGCGGGCUAGAGCACGGUAGAGGCGGAUGGAAUUCCCGGUGUAGCGGUGGAAUGCGUAGAUAUCGGGAAGAAUACCGGUGGCGAAGGCGUUCCGCUGGGCCGUUGCUGACGCUGAGGCGCGACAGCGUGGGGAGCAAACAGG
rnacentral:rRNA from 1 species